UUGAACGCUGGCGGCAGGCUUAACACAUGCAAGUCGAGCGGAGAGAGGUAGCUUGCUACUGAUCUUAGCGGCGGACGGGUGAGUAAUACUUAGGAAUCUGGCUAUUAGUGGGGGACAACAUUUCGAAAGGGAUGCUAAUACCGCAUACGUCCUACGGGAGAAAGCAGGGGAUCUUCGGACCUUGCGCUAAUAGAUGAGCCUAAGUCGGAUUAGCUAGUUGGUUGGAUAAAGGCCUACCAAGGCGACGAUCUGUAGCGGGUCUGAGAGGAUGAUCCGCCACACUGGGACUGAGACACGGCCCAGACUCCUACGGGAGGCAGCAGUGGGGAAUAUUGGACAAUGGGGGAAACCCUGAUCCAGCGAUGCAGUGUGUGUGAAGAAGGCCUGCGGGUUGUAAAGCACUUUCGGUUGGGAAGAAGGCAUUUGGGUGAAUAGCCUAGAUGUUUGACGUUACUGACAUAAGAAGCACCGGCUAACUCUGU
rnacentral:rRNA from 1 species